UGUUUCCUUGUCAUUCCACAUAUGAAUAAAGUGACAGUGGGUGGUAAAACAUUCUGCUUCAGGGCCCCUAUAUUGUGGAGUGGUUUACCAGCUUAUGUUCGCGAUGCUGAUUUGGUCUCUAAAUCUCGACUGAAAACGUAUUAGUUCAGUUUAGCUUACCUGCAAUCUAACACACCGUAACUGUGGCUGCUGCUGCUGUUGUACUUGUCAUUUAAUCUACUAUGCUUGUCCAUUUAUGUGUCAACGCAUGGUCCAUGCUUUCUGUCUCCCUGGGUGGGCAACAUCUGAAGUGGAGUCCUGGUUCAGUCCCAUGGAAGGGUGACAUUAUGGAUAUGACCUACAAACUGUAACAUCAUGGACACCCUCCUACGAAGAAGUGGGUACUGUGACUGUUAUGGGAUUCGUUUCACAGGCUGUCAUCAUUUGCUGCAGAGAGGCCUUACAUCAUAUCUCUACAGCGUCUUGCACCCAGCUGACCCCUGCUGGUUGUCCCCGGGAUAGGAGCAGAUCCACUGGUGGUGGACAUGGACAGAAGCACAGAUGCCAGCGGCCCGGUGCUGCAUUUCAUCCGCCAUUUGGUUCUCUGGAAUUAUAAAGACAGGAGACGGAACAUUUUAUGGAAUAAUUUAUUGUUACUGUACAACAAAACUACAUCACAUGUAGAAUUCAAGUGAAGAAUAAAAAUAAAAGAAUGAGAGUAAAACUAUAUAGAAUAAAAUGCAGAAAUACAAGAUACAAAUACAAAAUAUAAAUUAAACAAUUAGUUUCAAUUGAUGGCUGUUAACGGCAGACAGAUAUCACAAUUGGCAGUCAGUAUUGCACGUUGAAAAAAAUACUGCUGUCUCACUGGAAACAGGACACAAAUGCGUGGGAGACUGACGUGCUGGUCUUGGAUUGGGCCUCCUGUGUUUCAGGAGGGGAACUUGACACUAUAAAAACAUGCUAUUUAGUGCACAGAUUCCAUAAUAAGCAGAACAACCUUAACUACAGCCACUGUAAAAACAACACUGGAGAGGUUCAUGUGCACCAAAUGUAGCAGUCCACUCAGUCCAAAUGCUGGCAUCAACAACUGUCUAUUAAAUCAAAUCAUAUAAAUAUUUUAUACUUUCCAUAAAUGACAUUAUUUCCUCACUGUCAAGGUACCUAAACCAAGAUUUCUGCUUUUUUUGAUUUAUAAUACAUGUCAGGGUCUGUACCAUCUGACCCUGUCCUUGUGUCUCUUCCCCAUCUGGCCGGCAGCCGUCGCAGGCCAUCCCCUUUGUCGUCUCAUUGUCUUUGGUCCAAGUGUUUUACUCCCAUUCCUGGGGCUGCUGCAUGGUUCAUUGGGUUGGGGGGGCAUAGAUACUGGAGCCUACUGGCCAUGGAUUGAAGGCUGGUCAAGAACCACCCUCACCUGUUUCAUUUAAUGAUUGGUUUUUCUGUUCUUCCUAGUAUUUAUUAGUUCUGUGUUCUCCUUGUGAAGCUUGUGCCUUGUUUUAUUAUGUUCCAUGUUCCUAUAUUUUCUGAGUGUUGAAUUCAUAGUGUGUGAUUAGUGUUUCCUACUUUCACUGUUGGAGUUUCCCUAGUCUUGUGUUCAUUAGUACAAGUCACUGCACCCGUUGCCUGUUUUCCCUGUGCUGUUGUUAUUGGAACCGUGAGUGGACGUCACCCACAUACACCAUGCCCCACGUCCGUAACAAUAUGGGGGCAUAUUCACCUGUUGUCUUACCAUUCGAUGAUGAUGUUCUGUGAUGUUUUAAUGCAUCGCCGCCAGCUG